rnacentral:tRNA from 1 species
CAGAGAAUAGUUUAUGUAAAAUAUUAACUUUGGAAGUUAAUGAAGGAUAGUUAUUUUUCUCUGA